UACGAAGGUGGCAAGCGUUACUCGGAAUUACUAGGCGUAAAGGGCAGGUAGGUGGUCUGGAAAGUCUGUUGUGAAAGCUCCCGGCUUAACUGGGAGAGGUCAACAGAUACUAUCAGGCUAGAGUGUGGGAGAGGGGACUGGAAUUCCCGGUGUAGCGGUGAAAUGCGCAGAGAUCGGGAGGAACACCAAUGGCGAAAGCAGGUCCCUGGACCACUACUGACACUCAGCUGCGAAAGCUAGGGGAG
rnacentral:rRNA from 1 species